CACCAGUAGCUCAUCAAAGAGGUGUACUUCUAUCUAUUUAGAGCAAGAAUUUCCACCCAAAGUGAGCACACUCCAGGCGCUAACAAACGGCUCCAUCAGAGUCCUGAGAGAAAUCAGUACAACUUGUGAUGAUGGCGUGUGGAUGUGAGCUUCAGGUUCCUUAGCCUAUCUUAAAGAGAAUGUGUUGGUCUGAAUCGAGAGGAUCCCUGACUUCUUCAGCCGUGGCGAUCAAAGAGGCAAUCCACAGAAAGUAUGUACCCCGGGGCCUGUUGGCUCCUCAUCAGUGGCGAGCACGCAGCAUUGAUUGGAAACACAUGCUCUGGCAGCUUUCCUAGCCCUGCGACCUUGGCUGAAUAAUACCUUUGAACUUUGGUUUCCUGGUCCGUGUGGUGAAGAAGAACACAAUAUGGAGACGAUUAAGUAACAUCAGUGUCGGACUCGACACAGGUCUUCUAUCAGUCUGUGACGGGGGCAUAAAGCUGUCACUACCAAAAUAAAGCUGGAUGCUGGAGACACAGGAGCAUAAGCAAGACUGCGGACCUUUAGGGCAUCCGGCAGUGCCGCAAGACAAAGGGCCUGUUCAGGAUCAGAUACAGGGAGGCUCUAGAAGAAAAGCCACAGAGGUCCAAGGAAGAAUUUGUGAUUGGCAGGAGAAAGAUGGAUGGAGGCAGGGAACACAGCACGAGGUCAGGAGGCAAGCAACCAGGACAGAGACAACAGAGACUGAGACCGUCCAUAACAGUGUGCUGGGGACCGGGAGAGACCACUGAGACCGUUCAUAGCAGUGUGCUGGGGACCGGGAGAGACCACAGAGACUCAGACCGUCCAUAGCAGUGUGCUGGGGACCGGGAGAGACAAUAGAGACUGAGACCGUCCAUAGCAGUGUGCUAGUGACCGGGAGAAACCACAGAGACUGAGACCAUCCAUAGCAGUGUGCUGGGGACCGGGAGAGACCACGGAGACUGAGACCAUCCAUAGCAGUGUGCUGGGGACCGGGAGAGACUACAGAGACAGACAGUCCAUAGCAGUGUGCUGGGGACCAGGAGAGACCACAGAGACUGAGACGUUUAUAGCAGUAUGCUGGGGACCGGGAGAGACCACGGAGAUUGAGACCGUCCAUAGCAGUGUGCUGGGGACCGGGAGAGACCAAACAAGUCUGAGUUCAUUGCUAUCUGCGCCUUCCUUUCAAGCACAGCUAACCCUUCACCAACCUUAGCCACACAGCCUCGAAGUCCCAGGACAAUUCCCUCUGCACAUCUCUGAGGACUUUGGCCUCAUCCUACCUCUCCCUACUUUUUAGCCGUGCUCCAAAUCCCAAGACCAAACUUAGCCCAGACUUGACUCUGGCCAUGUGUAUCAGCCAAUCCGCUGCGUUUCCUUCUUAGGCAAAUCAUAGAUAAACUUUUUUAGUUAAAGUUACUUUUGUUUGUUUUGUUCUGUUUUUAUUUUGGCUUAGUGUGGGUUUUUUUGAGGUGAGGGGCCUCAUUUUGCAGAGGCUGACUUCAAUCUCCCUAUGUAGCCAAGGUUGUCUUUGAACUCCUAAUCCUCCUGACUUUACCUCCUAAGUGAUGAGAUUACAGCUAUGCACUACCAUGCCCAGCUUUAAAAUGAGUUUGGAAUUGGGGAGAUGGCUUAGUUGAUAAAGUUCCUGCCAUGCAAGCAUGGAGAACUGAGUUUGGAUCGCCAGCACUCACAUAAAAGCUGGGUGUAGUGGUAACCUUAGCAUGUGCUGGAGGGAGACAGGUAGAUUCUGGAGGCACACUGGCCAGCCUCGCCAGCCAACUGGGGAGCUGUUGGGUCAGUGAGAAAUCCUGUCUUAAAACACAGGAUAGAGAGAGAUUAAUGAAGACACUCGAUGUCAUCUUUUGGACCACACACAUAUAUGCACACAUGUACAUGCACACCCAUAAGCUGCACACCCACAAGCACGUGCACAGACACAAACACAUACCAAUUGAAGGUAGCUGUAAAAUUAGUUUUAAAAUAUACUAUAAAAUCCUCAUAAUGGACUUAGGCUGGGUCUCUGCAGCAGAGUCUGCCCAGCAUAUGUGGGG